AAUGAACGCUGGCGGCGUGCCUAACACAUGCAAGUCGAGCGAGAAAGUGGCUUCGGCCAUGAGUACAGCGGCGAACGGGUGAGUAACACGUGGAUAACCUGCCUGGAAGUGGGGGAUAACUCGGGGAAACCUGAGCUAAUACCGCAUACGCCUUUCGGAUCGCGAUCCGGAUUGGAAAGGUUGCCUCUUCUUCGAAAGCUAUCGCUUCCAGAGGGGUCCGCGCCUGAUUAGCUAGUUGGUGAGGUAAUGGCUCACCAAGGCAACGAUCAGUAGCCGGCCUGAGAGGGUGAUCGGCCACACUGGAACUGAGACACGGUCCAGACUCCUACGGGAGGCAGCAGUGGGGAAUAUUGCGCAAUGGGGGAAACCCUGACGCAGCAACGCCGCGUGGAGGAUGAAGGCCUUCGGGUCGUAAACUCCUGUCAGGUGGGAAGAAUAGGUUGCAGCAAACAACUGCAACUGUUGACGGUACCACCAGAGGAAGCCCCGG
rnacentral:rRNA from 1 species